rnacentral:rRNA from 1 species
GUGGGGAAUUUUGGACAAUGGGCGCAAGCCUGAUCCAGCCAUUCCGCGUGCAGGAUGAAGGCCUUCGGGUUGUAAACUGCUUUUGUACGGAACGAAAAGGUUCUCUCUAAUACAGGGGGCUGAUGACGGUACCGUAAGAAUAAGCACCGGCUAACUACGUGCCAGCAGCCGCGGUAAUACGUAGGGUGCGAGCGUUAAUCGGAAUUACUGGGCGUAAAGCGUGCGCAGGCGGUGCUGUAAGACAGGCGUGAAAUCCCCGGGCUCAACCUGGGAAUUGCGCUUGUGACUGCAGUGCUGGAGUACGGCAGAGGGGGAUGGAAUUCCGCGUGUAGCAGUGAAAUGCGUAGAUAUGCGGAGGAACACCGAUGGCGAAGGCAGUCCCCUGGGCCUGUACUGACGCUCAUGCACGAAAGCGUGGGGAGCAAACAGGAUUAGAAACCCCUGUAGUCC